rnacentral:rRNA from 1 species
AGAGUUUGAUCCUGGCUCAGGAUGAACGCUAGCUACAGGCUUAACACAUGCAAGUCGAGGGGCAGCAUGGUCUUAGCUUGCUAAGGCCGAUGGCGACCGGCGCACGGGUGAGUAACACGUAUCCAACCUGCCGUCUACUCUUGGACAGCCUUCUGAAAGGAAGAUUAAUACAAGAUGGCAUCAUGAGUCCGCAUGUUCACAUGAUUAAAGGUAUUCCGGUAGACGAUGGGGAUGCGUUCCAUUAGAUAGUAGGCGGAGUAACGGCCCACCUAGUCUUCGAUGGAUAGGGGUUCUGAGAGGAAGGUCCCCCACAUUGGAACUGAGACACGGUCCAAACUCCUACGGGAGGCAGCAGUGAGGAAUAUUGGUCAAUGGGCGCAGGCCUGAACCAGCCAAGUAGCGUGAAGGAUGACUGCCCUAUGGGUUGUAAACUUCUUUUAUAAAGGAAUAAAGUCGGGUAUGCAUACCCGUUUGCAUGUACUUUAUGAAUAAGGAUCGGCUAACUCCGUGCCAGCAGCCGCGGUAAUACGGAGGAUCCGAGCGUUAUCCGGAUUUAUUGGGUUUAAAGGGAGCGUAGAUGGAUGUUUAAGUCAGUUGUGAAAGUUUGCGGCUCAACCGUAAAAUUGCAGUUGAUACUGGAUAUCUUGAGUGCAGUUGAGGCAGGCGGAAUUCGUGGUGUAGCGGUGAAAUGCUUAGAUAUCACGAAGAACUCCGAUUGCGAAGGCAGCCUGCUAAGCUGCAACUGACAUUGAGGCUCGAAAGUGUGGGUAUCAAACAGGAUUAGAUACCCUGGUAGUCCACACGGUAAACGAUGAAUACUCGCUGUUUGCGAUAUACUGCAAGCGGCCAAGCGAAAGCGUUAAGUAUUCCACCUGGGGAGUACGCCGGCAACGGUGAAACUCAAAGGAAUUGACGGGGGCCUGCACAAGCAGAGGAACAUGUGGUUUAAUUCGAUGAUACGCGAGGAACCUUACCCGGGCUUAAAUUGCAGAUGAAUUACGGUGAAAGCCGUAAGCCGCAAGGCAUCUGUGAAGGUGCUGCAUGGUUGUCGUCAGCUCGUGCCGUGAGGUGUCGGCUUAAGUGCCAUAACGAGCGCAACCCUUGUUGUCAGUUACUAACAGGUUCCGCUGAGGACUCUGACAAGACUGCCAUCGUAAGAUGUGAGGAAGGUGGGGAUGACGUCAAAUCAGCACGGCCCUUACGUCCGGGGCUACACACGUGUUACAAUGGGGGGUACAGAGGGCCGCUACCACGCGAGUGGAUGCCAAUCCCCAAAACCUCUCUCAGUUCGGACUGGAGUCUGCAACCCGACUCCACGAAGCUGGAUUCGCUAGUAAUCGCGCAUCAGCCACGCUGCGGUGAAUACGUUCCCGGGCCUUGCACACACCGCCCGUCA